rnacentral:rRNA from 1 species
UCUGAAUCUGCGNACGGCUCCGCAAACCAGUUGUAAACUAGAGCAAGCAAGUCUGGCGGGCUUCGGCCUCCAGACGAUAUGGAUAACCCUGGUAAUUCUGAGGCUAAUACAUGACCGCAAAACCGGGCAGCCCAGCAAUGGAUGCUCGGGGAUGUGCGAUAUGGCUUGACAAUAACCGGGAAAGGACGCACACUCAGACCGCGCUAAAAAGGAUCGGGACUCUCCUCGGAGAACCUGGCCCCAGCGGCUCUUGCUGUGUGCUUCUGACCUAUCAACUAGACGGCAGCGUAAUGGACAUGCUAUGGUGACAACGGGUACAGUC